rnacentral:rRNA from 1 species
ACGGCUCAGUAACACGUGGAGAACGUGCCCUUAAGUGGGGGAUAAUCUCGGGAAAUUGAGGAUAAUACCCCAUAGAUCAUGGCAUCUGGAAUGAGUCAUGGUUGAAAGUUCCGGCGCUUAAGGAUCGCUCUGCGGCCUAUCAGGUAGUAGUGGGUGUAAGGUACCCCCUAGCCUACGACGGGUAUGGGCCUUGAGAGAGGGAGCCCAGAGUUGGAUUCUGAGACACGAAUCCAGGCCCUACGGGGCGCAGCAGUCGCGAAAACUUCACACUGGGGGGAACCCCGAUGAGGGAAAUCCUAGUGCUAGGACAUUUGUUCUAGCUUUUCUCAAGCGUAGAUAACUUGAGGAAUAAGGGCUGGGUAAGACGGGUGCCAGCCGCCGCGGUAAUACCUGCAGCCCAAGUGGUGGUCGAUUUUAUUGAGUCUAAAACGUUCGUAGCCGGUUUGGUAAAUCUUUGGGUAAAUCGGGAAGCUUAACUUUCCGACUUCCGAAGAGACUGUCAAACUUGGGACCGGGAGAGGCUAGAGGUACUUCUGGGGUAGGGGUAAAAUCCUGUAAUCCUAGAAGGACCACCGGUGGCGAAGGCGUCUAGCUAGAACGGAUCCGACGGUGAGGGACGAAGCCCUGGGUCGCAAACGGGAUUAGAUACCCCGGUAGUCCAGGGUGUAAACGCUGCAGACUUGGUGUUGGAGGCCCUUCGGGGGCAUUCAGUGCCGGAGAGAAGUUGUUAAGUCUGCUACUUGGGGAGUACGUCCGCAAGGAUGAAACUUAAAGGAAUUGGCGGGGGAGCAC